CAACAGCAAGGGUUUCCUGUUUGUUUUUUUUUUUUUUCUCUCAAUGAGAAGCUGAGAAUUUACCCUGUCAGUGAAGGCCAAGUCAGGUUUCUGAGAGAAAAGAAUGGAUUUGAAAGGGGCGGUUGUUGCAUGAUUCAGUCUGGCUGGUGAUCAGCAUUAAUAUGAAGAUAGCUUAAAGGUUAAGAUUGAUUGCUCUGUCAUAAGCUAGUUUGGAAACCAGAUACAAUAAUUAUACCAUCCUCUUGAAAUAGCAGUGCUUGGGUAACAUCCCUGCUUCUUUCUGAUACUUGUCCAAUGUCAAAUGAAGGAGUCCUCAGCAUUCAGUGAAUAUUUGCAAUGUUUACAUGAUUAACAUUUCCAUUUGUUUUAUGUUACAGUGUAUAGAAUUAAAUUUAUUGCUUCUAAUGAUUGAAGGUAUGGAGUUUGAAUAGAUGGCUUUUACACUAUGAAUAAUAUGAAUGUAACAAUGAAAUUAUUGGCAGCAGGGGAGCUUUUUUCCCUGGGCUAGCAUUUUCAUUCAAAAUUUGCUCAGUUAAAUGCACAUGCACAGACGGGGACACUUAGUGUCAAAAGUGAUAUGUUCAAGCACUUUAGAGACAUCCUGGAUUUUGUUUUGCUUUGUCACAUCAGGCAUGAGUAGCAUGCAAAAGAUUGCAAAAAGGAGCACAAAGGACGGCCAUUUCCAAAGAGCUAGUCAUCAUCAUGCAGGUGUAAAACCUCUGUUAUAAAAAACCAUCAACAUCCAUUAAAAGUGUGCCAGGUGCAUAUGCGUGUGUGUGUGUGUGUG
rnacentral:lncRNA from 1 species